rnacentral:misc_RNA from 1 species
ACUUUGCAUAAGGUCACACAAUACAAGAAAGGGAAGGACAGCCUUGCUGCACAAGGUAAAAGGCGAUAUGAUCGCAAGCAAUCAGGCUAUGGAGGGCAGACAAAACCUGUUUUCCACAAGAAGGCCAAAACCACUAAGAAGAUUGUUCUGAGGUUGCAAUGUCAAGGUUGUAAGCAUGUGUCUCAGCAUCCAAUUAAGAG